UCACACCCCCUCUGCUGUCUUUACGCUCUCAUUCUACCUGUCUUUCACACCUGUUUUUUUCUGUUUCCCUGUCUUUCUAUCCCUUAUCUUUCUGUGUCUUUUUCUCUCUUUUUGGGUGUCUCCAGUAUCCAGGCUCAGGUAGGCAGCACCACAUCCAAGCCAGGAAUACUCUCCUUCAAGUCUUCUUCUCUCCUACCUUUCUUUCCUUUCUUCAUCAUACACAUCCACCUCCACAUCUUCUACCUCCUCCUCCUCUCUCUCUCCACUCUCCUCCUGCCUCCACACCCUGAGCGCGCCGGAGAGAGUCGCCAAUUGCGCACGGCCGAGGCGAGCAAGUGGGAGUGGACCUCUGCGAGCUUGUGUUUGUGAACGUGGAGAGGAAGAGGAGAGGAGGAGGAGGAGGAGGAGGAGAAGGAGGAGAGAAAGAAGAGCAUCAGCACAGUCCCCUGUCUCUCCUCUCUUUUUCUUCUACUUCACGCGCACUCCCACUCUGCAUGGAACAAUCCUUCCUUCAGCGCUUCUAAAUGGACAUUUCUGUGGCAACGUCUCACCAGUGAAGACAGCAGCUGCUGCCUCUCCGCUCCACAAGCUUCUACAUGCUGGAUUUAAAAACAAAGUGAGGAGAGGAGUGGAACGGGGGGAGAUCUCCUAACAUGAGUGAAGAAGCUAAGGAGAAAGCGGGCAGUGGGAAAGGAGCCCAUCGCAAGAAGAAAGGCAAAAAGUCUGACAGUAAUGCCAGUUAUCUGCGAGCAGCCCGUGCAGGAAACCUUGAAAAGGUCCUUGACUACCUCAAGUCUGGGGUUGAGAUCAACAUUUGCAAUCAGAAUGGUCUAAACGCUCUCCAUCUAGCCUCCAAGGAGGGGCACGUUGAGGUUGUUGCUGAGCUGCUGAAGCUCGAAGCUGCUGUGGAUGCAGCUACAAAGAAAGGAAACACUGCUCUGCACAUAGCCUCACUUGCUGGCCAAACGGAAGUUGUCAAAGAGCUGGUCAAUAAUGGAGCCAAUGUCAACGCACAAUCACAGAAUGGCUUCACCCCUCUGUACAUGGCAGCCCAGGAGAACCACCUCGAGGUGGUGCGGUUCCUUCUGGAGAACGGCGCCAGCCAGAGCAUGGCCACUGAGGAUGGCUUCACCCCUCUGGCAGUGGCGCUCCAGCAGGGCCAUGACCAGGUGGUCUCCCUGCUAUUGGAGAACGAUACAAAGGGCAAGGUACGCCUACCUGCCCUGCACAUCGCUGCCCGCAAGGACGACACCAAGGCCGCGGCCCUGCUCCUACAGAACGACCACAACGCUGACGUCGAGUCCAAGAGUGGUUUCACCCCCUUGCACAUCGCCGCUCAUUACGGCAACAUAAACGUGGCCACGCUACUGCUGAACAGAGGGGCUGCUGUGGACUUCAUGGCUCGGAAUGACAUCACACCACUACAUGUGGCAUCAAAACGGGGCAACAGCAACAUGGUCAAGUUGUUGCUGGACAGAGGGUCCAAAAUCGAUGCAAAAACCAAGGACGGGCUAACACCUCUACACUGUGGAGCCAGGAGCGGGCACGAGCAGGUGGUAGAAAUCCUACUAGACCGAGGAGCUCCUUUCCUGUCCAAGACCAAGAACGGUCUAUCUCCGCUCCACAUGGCCACUCAGGGAGACCACCUGAACUGCGUCCAGCUUCUGCUCCAGCAUGAUGUUCCAGUGGAUGACGUCACUAACGACUACCUGACGGCGCUGCAUGUCGCUGCUCACUGUGGUCACUACAAGGUGGCGAAGCUCAUUGUGGACAAGAAGGCCAACCCAAACGCCAAGGCUCUGAACGGUUUCACUCCACUUCACAUCGCCUGCAAGAAGAACAGAGUGAAAGUGAUGGAGCUGCUGCUUAAACAUGGAGCGUCUAUCCAGGCUGUCACUGAGUCUGGCCUGACGCCGAUCCAUGUUGCAGCCUUUAUGGGCCAUGAAAACAUUGUUCAUGCAUUGAUGCACCACGGAGCAUCACCAAACACAACCAACGUACGAGGUGAGACAGCCCUCCACAUGGCAGCAAGGGCGGGCCAGGCAGACGUAGUCCGAUACCUGCUCAAGAACGGAGCCAAGGUGGAGACAAAGUCCAAGGAUGACCAGACAGCACUGCACAUCUCCAGCCGGCUGGGCAAAGUCGACAUUGUACAACAGCUGCUGCAGUGCGGCGCCUCUGCCAAUGCUGCUACCACCUCAGGCUACACCCCUCUACACCUGGCUGCCCGGGAAGGACACCAGGAUGUUGCUGCCAUGUUACUGGAGAACGGAGCAUCACUGUCCUCCUCCACUAAGAAAGGGUUCAGCCCCCUGCAUGUGGCAGCAAAGUACGGCAAGAUGGAGGUAGCCAGCCUCCUCCUACAGAAAAGGGCUUCGCCUGAUGCUGCUGGAAAGAGCGGGCUAACUCCACUGCAUGUAGCCGCUCACUACGAUAAUCAGAGGGUGGCUCUGCUGCUGCUGGAUCAGGGAGCUUCCCCACAUGCUGCCGCCAAGAAUGGCUACACACCACUCCACAUUGCUGCCAAAAAGAACCAAAUGGACAUUGGGACCACAUUGCUGGAGUACGGCGCAGACACAAACGCUGUGACGCGGCAAGGCAUCAGCCCUAUACACCUGGCAGCACAGGAGGGCAGCGUGGACCUGGUAUCACUGCUGCUGACCAAGAACGCCAACGUCAAUGUGUGCAAUAAGAGCGGACUUACACCUCUCCACCUUGCAGCUCAGGAGGACAAAAUCAAUGUCGCAGAAGUCCUUCUCAAUCACGGGGCUGAUGUCAACCCUCAAACAAAGAUGGGUUACACACCACUGCACGUGGCCUGUCACUAUGGCAACACAAAGAUGGCAAACUUCCUGCUGCAGAAUCAUGCCAGGAUAAACGGCAAAACAAGGAAUGGGUACACUCCUCUACACCAGGCAGCUCAGCAGGGCCACACCCACAUCAUCAACCUGCUGCUUCAGCACGGGGCCUCAGCCAACGAGCUCACUGUGAAUGGGAACACUGCCCUGUCCGUCGCCUGCCGUCUCGGGUACAUCUCUGUGGUGGACACUCUGAGGCCGAUGACGGAUGAAAAUCUGACCACCAUGAGUGCAUCAGAGAAACAUAAAAUCAACGUCCCUGAGACCAUGAACGAGUUUCUCGACAUGUCUGACGAUGAAGUCCAGGCAAAUGUGCCGGAAACUCUCAAUGAGGAGUCUUUGUCAGAUGGUGAUGAAGGUGAGGAUGCAAUGACCGGGGACACGGACAAAUACCUGCGGCCUCAGGACCUCAAGGAGCUGGGGGACGACUCUCUCCCUCAAGAGGGGUACAUGGGCUUCAGCAUAGGAGCCCGUUCAGCCAGCCCUAGAAUCAGCCUCCGCUCCUUCAGUUCGGAUAGGUCCAACACGCUCAACCGCAGCUCCUUCGCACGGGACAGUAUGAUGAUUGAGGAGAUUCUGGCCCCUACAAAGGACACGCUUCAGAGUGUCUGUAAAGACAUUUCCUACUUGGUUGACCCCCUCAAUAAGCACCUGGCUGUGACCAGAGACUACAGCUCAGAGUGUAUGCGGCGCUACAGCUGGACUCCGGACACCAUGGACCAUAGCCACAACGCUGUGUCCAGCCCCAUUCACUCUGGCCUCUCCUCCCCGCUCCCUCAGUAUGACUCCAGAUUCUUGGUCAGCUUCAUGGUGGAUGCCCGCGGCGGUUCUAUGAGAGGUAGCCGCCACAAUGGCAUGCGCAUCAUCAUCCCCCCCAGGAAGUGCACAGCACCCACACGCAUCACCUGCCGCCUGGCCAAGAGGCACAAGCUGGCCUACCCACCACCCAUGGUGGAGGGAGAGGGGCUGGUGAGCCGAUUGGUGGAGGUUGGACCAGCCGGGGCUCAGUUCCUUGGUCCUGUUAUUGUUGAGAUCCCACAUUUUGGUUCCAUGCGGGGGAAAGAGAGGGAGCUGAUCGUGUUGAGGAGUGAAAACGGGGACACGUGGAAGGAGCACCAAACUGACACCAGACCAGAGGACCUUACUGAUCUGCUGGCUGGCAUGGAUGAAGAGCUGGACAGUCCUGCUGAGUUAGAGAAGAAGCGUAUUUGCCGCAUUGUCACCAGAGAUUUCCCACAGUAUUUUGCUGUGGUGUCGCGGAUUAAGCAGGAGUCAAACCACGUGGGUCCUGAUGGGGGCGUCCUGUCCAGCAGCACUGUGCCCAUGGUCCAGGCCUCUUUCCCACAGGGUGCACUCACCAAGAGGAUCCGUGUCGGCCUGCAGGCCCAGCCCGUGCCAGAUGACCUGGCGAGGGCAGUCCUUGGGAACAGAGCCACCUUCAGCCCCAUCGUCACUGUCGAACCCAGGAGGCGGAAGUUCCACAAGCCAAUCACCAUGACCAUCCCUGUCCCACCUAGAUCAGCAGAGGGACACCGAGGGGACUCUGCUCCCUGCUUACGUCUGCUCUGCAGCAUCACAGGAGGGACGUCUCCUGCUCAGUGGGAGGACAUCACAGGGACGACACCGCUGUCCUUUGUAACCGACUGCGUCUCCUUCACCACAAAUGUGUCGGCCAGGUUCUGGCUCGCAGACUGUCACCAGAUUCCUGAGACGGUGAGUCUAGCGUCUCAGUUAUACCGGGAGCUGAUCUGCGUGCCGUACCUGGCCAAGUUUGUGGUUUUCGCAAAGAUGAAUGACCCUGUUGAGGCUCGGCUGCGCUGUUUCUGCAUGACAGAUGACAAGGUGGACAAAACCCUGGAGCAGCAGGAGAACUUUGAGGAAGUGGCCCGCAGCAAAGAUAUUGAGGUUCUGGAGGGAAAGCCUAUCUAUGUGGACUGCUACGGAAACCUGUCUCCUCUGACUAAAAGUGGGCAGCAGCUGGUUUUUAACUUCUACUCCUUCAAGGAAAACAGACUUCCGUUCAAUGUGAAGAUUAGAGAUAUGAGCCAGGAGCCAUGUGGCCGCCUCUCCUUCCUGAGAGAGCCAAAAACCAGCAAAGGCCUUCCACAGACUGCCAUAUGCAAUUUGAAUAUCACACUGCCAACCCACCGAAAGGAUAUGGAGUCAGAUCCUGAUGAUGAGACUGAAAAGCCAGAACGACGUCAUACCUUUGCCUCCUUAGCUUUGCGUAAGCGCUACAGCUAUUUGACCGACCCAGCAGCGAAAACAACUGAUCGAAGCUCGCAGAGAACACAGCCUUCUGGCUACCCUCACAAACCUGUCUUUUCAACGAGAUCUUAUCAGGCGUGGUCGUCUGUUCCUGUCGCCAUCCCUGGUCAAGCCAAGUCUGGGUUUGGCUCCCUCUCCAGCUCGUCAUCCAACACGCCCUCUGCCUCUCCAUUAAAAUCUGUCUGGUCCAUCAACUCUGCCUCCCCUAUCAAGACCAACAUCCCUGGAUCUCCUGCUUCUUCUGUAAAGUCAGUUAGUGACAUGGCAUCUCCCAUCCGAACUUACAGAACCAUCUCCUCUCCUAUAAAAACUGUAGUCCAACAAGUGCAGUACCCAGGGCAGGUCACCCCUAGUCCCCUGGCCUCACCAGGCAAAAGUGUCCCAGAUUCAGUGUCUAUGAAAGGCCUGGCAGCAUUGUCUGCCAGAACCUCCCCUAUAACUGUCUCUGGAGGAGGCAGUACACUUCUUGAGAGAGCGUCCAUAGGCAUGACUCCACCAUCCUCUCCCAAAUCCUCUCUGAGUAUGUUCAGUUCACCUCUGCCAUACAAAACCGUUAUGGGGGGAUCUAGCAGCCCUGCGUCCUCUUCACCCAUAAAAACAGUCCCUGGUCUCUCCUCUGUUCGUUCCUUUGCCUCUGAAGUCACUGGCCCAGCAAGAAACCUGUUUUCCUCGCUUACAUCACCUCUUAAAUCCAACAACGCUCCAAGUACUGCAGCUCUGAUCAAUGGAACUGUGUCCCCUACACAGUAUCGCUCUUCUUCCCCAACAUCUCUUCUCCCGAGCAGUCUACAAGAGCGAAUACAAGCAACCACCAAUGCCGCAACGACAAGUGUCAAUGCAGCCUUUGACGAGGUUGAGAAAACGUUUAAUUCUUGUUCUGCAGGCUAUGGCACAUUGAAGUCCAUGUCCUCUUCAGCAUCCUCCUCAUAUCAGUCUAUUAGAUCAUCAGCAUCCAACUCCCUCUACCCAUCCCUCAGAUCCCCUCCUAGUGCCACGACUGCUGUAACAUCCAGUACAGUGACUGUUCCAGUGUACUCUGUUAUUAAUGUGCUGCCAGAGCCCCAGUUCAAAAAGCUACCUGAGGUGUCAAAGUCAGCUGCUGCCCUUCUGUCCCCAAGGAAGACUGUUCCCGCAGAAGCAAAUGCUCACUUGCAGUCUUCCUUUGCAAAAACUCUUUCCCCUAUCAAAACCCCCCUUUUUGCUGCUGGCAUGAAGUCAAACACCACAUCACCGCUGUCAUCCAGCCAAGAGAUUCUAAAGGAUGUGGCUGAAAUGAAGGAGGACUUGAUACGAAUGUCAGCCAUUUUGCAGACAGAUCCAAACUCCACAGCCAACAAAGGAUUUCAGUCCGAUUCUCCUAAAGAGGCUAAGCUAGAGGAUGAAGAACCAUACAGGAUUGUUGAGAAAGUAAAACAAGAUUUGGUCAAAGUGAGCGAAAUACUUGCAAAAGACGCUGCAAAGGACGGUAGAGUUUCCCUGGCAAGAGGUUCUUUGGAUGAUAUACAUUUCUCAAAAGUCCAAGUUGAACAACCACCAAGCAACUGGAGCUACCCUCCGAGAUAUGAGACUGUGGUUCCUCAAGCCAAAUCAAAAACAAUACCAGAUAGAGAUUUUAAUCUUUCAAAAGUGGUUGACUACCUGGUCAAUGAUGUUGGUAGCAACUCUUUCUCCAAAAUGCAUGAGACAAAGUCCAAAGCAGAUGAGGGCAAGAAAGAAGGAGAGGGCAAGGAGAAACAGAAACGGGUUCUAAAACCCACUAUAGCAGUUCAGGAGCACAAGCUUAAAAUGCCACCAACAACAAUGCGCUCUUCAGCUUCAGACAAAGAGAUCAGUAAAGUAGCAGAUGCCCUCUUUUCAGCAGAUACUGUUCUAGAGUCUCCUGAUGAUAUUUCACAUGAACAGGACAAAAGCCCCCUCUCAGACAGUGGCUUUGAGACCAGGAGCGAGAGGACACCCUCCGCCCCUCAAAGUGCAGAAGGCAUGGGUCCCAAGGCCCUUUUUCAGGAUAUCCCAGUUCCCCCAGUGAUCACUGAGACUAGGACUGAGGUUGUUCAUGUUAUCAGGAGUUAUGAGCCUCCAGAGGAUAACAAACAACCUGCAAUGGAAGAUGCACAUCCUGUCAGAUAUAUUGAUUCAGAAUCUAAAGGGCAUCUAAAUCAGACUCCAUCAACUCCUGAUCAAAAUAAAUGCUAUUCAAUGAAAGUCAGCCCUGAUGAUGAUCCGAUGGGAAAAGGGAUGAGGGUAAAAGAGGAAACUCACAUCACAACCACCACUAGGAUGGUUUACCACAAACCAUCUGCCAAGGAAGCUGCAUCAGAGAGAUGUGAAGAGACAAUGUCUGUGCAUGACAUAAUGAAAGCAUUUCAGUCAGGAAAGGACCCUUCAAGAGAACUUGCUGGACUGUUUGAACACAAGUCUGGCAACGAGGAGACAUCACAAAGAGUCCUCGAGGACAUCAACUCCAAACCUAAGGUUGAACGGAUAAUUGAAGUUCAUAUUGAAAAGGGCAAUAAAACAGAACCAACAGAGGUCAUCAUCAGAGAGACAAAAAACCACGCAGAGAAGGAAAUGUAUUACUACCCAGGGAAUAGACAAGAAGAGGAAGAGCCUGAGGAAUCUCUUCCAGUGUACCUCGACUCUCCCAGGGUGAACACACCCAUGUCACAGGAGGAAGACAGUCGCCCCAGUUCAGCCCAACUUAUGGCAGAUGACUCUUACAAAACACUAAAGCUACUAAGCCAGCAAUCUGUAGAGUACAAUGAGGAUGAAUCAUCAGAGCUUAGGGGAGAAUCUUAUAAUUUUGCGGAGAAAAUGUUACUCUCUGAGAAAUUUGACCAGUCUCAUUCUGACACAGAGGAAUAUCUGAGAGAUAGGUCUCGCUUCCACUCACCAGACAGAAGUAGUCACAGUGAAGGUAGAUCAGGUGGGCCAAGGACAGAGUAUGUUUUUAGGUCAUCAAGAAAUGUGUUUGACAAAUCUGGAAGAAUGGCCAACGUUGAUGAUUCCUUUGACAAACUGACACUCUUGCAGUACUCUUCUGAGCCUGGUAGCCCAAAACAGUCUGUUUGGAUGCGUGUGUCAGAUGAUGCCCAGAAUAAGGACAGCAGACAGAUAGUGUAUGAGGACAGGGUGGACAGGACUGUAAAAGAGGCAGAGGAAAAGCUGAGCGAGGUGUCUCAGUUUUUUCGUGAUAAAACAGAACAACUCAAUGAUGAACUCUCAUCCCCAGAGAAGAAAUCUCGUAGGCCAGACUUUAGGGAAUCACGAUCAGGGCCUAGCUCUACACACAGCAGUCCAGAGAGGUCAGCUUAUCGCGGUGGGGGGAGUGGGGAGGAGUGGAGCAGAGAAAGGCUACGAGACAGGUUCAGCUCUGGUGAUAGGAAAUGUGCAAGCCUACCCAGCAGUCCAGAGAGGAGAGUAUUGCUGCAAUACACUGAUUCAGACCGAAGACAGCAAGAUGAUAAAUCAAAAGGAAGCACAGGUGAAAGCCCAAAGCCUUUUCAAAUGUCUUCCUCCAAAGUGAGUGCAGUGAGGCUAAAGUUUGAGCAGGAGGCUCAAAGACAGGACAGGAGUCAUCAGGCAGAUCAGAAUUCAAAUCCUCCCAUUAGGAAGCUCCAAGAGAGUAAGCUACCUGUGUAUCAGGUGUUUGCUGGUUCAAACCUUCCAAAAACACCGGACCGUCCAGGAAACCAGAGAAGAAGUUUAGAUAGCCAGUCUGGUAAGUUCUCACCAAAGCACGAGACCAGUCAAAAAGAUCAGGAAGAAAAAAAGGUGUUCAAGGCAUGGGAGGGCCAAGACUAUGGAAACUAUAAACCCCAGUCGCCCAAACUACCACACUCCUUAAUCAGUGAUGGCAAUAAUAGUGAUCCCCAAAGACAAGAAACCACUAAGAAAAUAAUCUACACAGAAUUUGUUGUCCGAGAAAGUCCAAAUAGUAACGAUAGUCUAAAAAAAAACUCGGAAUCGCAAAAUCCUGUAAGAAAGCCAUCUAAUUUCUCUGAAAAUAACAAAUCCACCAGUUUAAAACUAGAUUCCUCAGUUGAAUCGUGUGAGAGGACAGGGUCUCAUAUACCUACUUUAGCUAGAAGUCGCUUACACAGUAGCUCUGAAUCCAAUAAGUCCACUCGUGGAUCUUCCGUAGGAAAAUCUUCAGACUCAUCAGACUGCAGUGUGUCAAAUGUAGUGUGUAAUGGGGUUGAUAGUGACCAGGUAGAGUAUUUGGAAGAAGUCACUCCUGUUGUUGUCACAGAGGGCUUCAAGGAUAUUAAGCCUUUACCUGUGUAUGUUAGCAUCCAAGUAGGAAAGCAAUAUGAGAAAGAAACCGCAUCAGGGCAACUCGGAACUUACAAAAAGAUAGUGAGCCAUGAGAGUAGGACAGUGCAUGAGACUAGGGGUGCUUUUUACACUGUCAAGCAAAAGCAGUCUCCUUCUCCUCAAGGAAGUCCAGAAGAUGACACCCUAGAACAAGUGACUUUCAUGGACAGCUCUGGGAAAAGUCCUGUUACUCCUGAGACCCCCAGCUCAGAGGAAUUAAGUCUAACCUCAAGAACACCAGACUCUGUGAUAGGCUUCAUGCCUGGCAUGCCAAGCCCUAUCCCAGAGGAGUCUGAGGAGGAGGAAGGGAAGACCUUCAUCUACAAGGAACCCUCAAAAGAAAAACCCAAGCCAGCUCCCUCAGGGAAUCAAAGCAAAAAACAGGAUGCACAGAGACCGAAGUCAAAGGAGAAAAGAGUGGCCUACAUAGAGUUUCCACCCCCACCUCCCCUAGAGACAGAGCAGUCUGACCCUGAAAAACGAGGUUCAUGUGCUUCCUCUGAGGCAGAGACAGAAAUGAUGGAGGUGAACCUCCAAGAGGAGCACGAUCGGCAUCUCCUCGCCGAGCCAAUCAUCAGGGUCCAGCCUCCAUCCCCUAUUCCCCCAGGAGCUGAAAACAGCGACUCUAGUGAUGAUGAAUCUGUUUUUCAUCCCAUUCCUAUCAAGAAGUACACAUUCAAAAUGAAAGAGGAGGGAGAGAAACGGCCAAAACAGAAAAGGUCAGAGAAAAAUGCAAAUAAAGAGUCUGGGCUCAACGGUGUCGUGAAGGGGGAAGAUGCUGACUUAGAACAAAAUGGCAAUGACCAGUCAAUCACUGACUGUUCUAUAGCCACCACUGCUGAGUUCUCCCAUGACACAGAUGCAACUGAAAUAGACUCUUUAGAUGGGUAUGACCUGCAGGAUGAGGAUGAUGGACUGAGCGAGGACCCUAAAACCUCUAGUCUGUCCAAUGAUGGAAAAACAACAGACCGCUCAUUUAGCCAAUCCAAGCUUGAAGUGAUAGAAGAAGAAAAAUGUGAGGAAGGAGGGGAAAAUGGAAAGAACAAAACAAGCACAUCCUCAGCAAAAUCUAGUGGAGAGGAAAAAGAUUAUACCCUUGAAGGAAGGCAUCCAGAAAGGCUGGGCUUUGGGGAGAACUACUUUGGCUACCAACUGGAAGAAGAGCUGAAUUCAACUUUUAAAACUGUUGCCACCAAAGGCUUGGACUUUGACCCCUGGUCUACCAAAGGGGGCGAAAGCGAUGGAGUCUAUGAGUCCAAGGCAAAAGACGAGGACCCCAAGCCCUUUGGUUUAUCGGUAGAGGACAAAUCACAGGCUACAACUCCUGACACAACACCCGCUCGAACACCGACUGACGAGAGCACACCGACUAGUGAGCCUAAUCCCUUCCCUUUCCAUGAAGGGAAGAUGUUUGAGAUGACCCGCAGUGGUGCUAUUGACAUGAGCAAGCGGGACUUUGUUGAAGAGAGGCUUCAGUUUUUCCAGAUUGGUCCCCAAAGCCCUUGUGAGAGAACAGACUUGCGGAUGGCUAUUGUUGCAGAUCACUUGGGACUUAGCUGGACAGAGCUGGCUCGGGAGAUGAACUUCACAGUGGAUGAGAUCAACCACAUCAGAUUAGAGAACCCCAACUCUCUAACAGCACAGAGCUUCAUGCUACUUAAGAAAUGGGUCAGUCGGGAAGGGAAAAAUGCCACAACGGAUGCCUUAUCUACAGUGCUGACCAAAGUCAAUCGGAUGGAUAUUGUGACUUUACUGGAGGGCCCAAUAUUUGACUAUGGUAACAUUUCAGGCACGAGAUGUUUUGCCGAUGAUAACGCUGUAUUCCGGGAUCAGGCUGAUGAUUAUCAGAGCAUUCUAGCGGAGCUGCAGUCCCCAGCUGCACUGCACUCUGAUCCCCACUUCCUGGAGCCCGAACUUCCUGUCACCCCCAACCCUUCCCUUGACCCACACCACCAGCAUCACCACCAUUACCCAGAACCAGACACCCCUUUGCUGGCUGACUCCCAGCAGCCUCAGCCCCUGCCCUGGAGCCCAGAGAUAGAGCCUGGUAGCAGAGAACCCGACAGCCCCCCUAGGAGUCCCCCAAGACCCUGUGAGCUUGCCCUUUCCGUCCCGGUAUUUGAACUCCCAGAUCCUGUUCCUUCUACGGUCAGCAAGCCCCACAUCGCUCUUAAUGAUCAGCUGCUUCUGAGCGAGGAGGAGGACAGAUCCUAUAAAGAAAUGGAGCUGAGCCACAGGCCACGGUCACGCUCUUUCCCUGCCACGUUUGACUCAGACAUCGACAUGGCUUUCUCCACAUCCUCCCCUUCACUGUCAUCAAUAUCAUCCAUAACUCCUUCAUCACCUGACAGAGCACAAUUGACAAUCAGAAGAGCGCAGAUGGGCGCUCUGAAUGGGGUACAGGAGGUUGUAGAUUGGAAAGGAAGUGAGAAGAAAGUGCCAGAAGAAAUAGAGAAGGUUGCAGAGAUGGUUGCAGCAGAGUUAGCAGAGGGAAAUGACUUAGUGGAGAAGUGGGUGGAACAGGACUUAAUUAAAAAGGUGGACAGAAAGUGUGAGAUGGUAACUAAAGAUAGGCCAAAGACGGCAGAAGAAAAAAACAUUGUAGUGGAACAGAAGGAUGGAUCUGCAGAAGAAGAGAAAGAUUUGGCAAAUGCGCAGCAAGUUGAGAAUAAGGAGGAGGUAGAAGAGGUAAAAGAUGUGCAGAAUAUGUCAGAAGAGCAGCAUUAUAUGAUAGAAACUGAGCAUGAAGUGGGAAAAAGUGAUGAAAUAGAAGCAGAAACUUGCAAAGAGAGUAUUAAUGAAACACCUGAGGCUCAAAAACUUGACUUGAGCAGCGAAGAAAGGGUCUGUAUGGAAGACAGAAAAGAUGACACUGAUGGAGAGGUGCAGUGUAAGGGUGAAGAAGGGUUCUGUGGCAGCAAAAGGGAGAUUUACGAGGACGAGGAAGCCAAGGACGAAGCUGUACGUCCUCUCUUCUUUCAGCCUUGGGUUGAGGCACUUGAGGAACACCAGCCGAGGGUUUCUGACUCCAGUGAGGAGGAGGAAGACAAUGAGGAGGGGAGAGACAAAGAAAUCACAGAAGAGGCAUUAGGAUCUCUGUGGGAGGAGGUGAAGAAAGAAGAAGGCUCAGAGGAAAAUGAGGAGGAUAAAGAGGUGAUCAAGGCCAGUGUUGAGGAGACUCUCCAUCAGGUUGAACAGGCAGAAAAAGACGUGUGUUCACUUUCAGGUUGGCACAGUGAUUCAUCCAGUGUCAAUGUGGAACCACCAACACCAGGCCGCAGCGUCAGCUCAGACCUGCUCGACAGGCGGGAAAGCCAAGAGAACUCAAGUGACUCCAUCACUUCCUCAUCUAGGGGCGAAUCAGGGAGGUCACGACACAACGGCAGCAACUCAAAACACUCACCUCAGGGCGGCUCAUCUGAAUCAUCAAAUGGCAAAAAGGAAGAAGGAGCACUGGUGUCAGAGAAAAAAGUCCAGCGUGUUAGUGUAGAUUCUGGUUCAGAGGAAGAACAGACUGUAACCACUAGAAUCUUCCGACGCCGUCUCAUUUUAAAGGGAGAAGAAGCGAAGAAUAUCCCAGGUGAGACUAUGACAGAGGAACACUAUGUGGACCGAGAUGGUAACCUCAUCAGUAGAAAAGUAAUCAGGAAGGUCAUCCGGCGGGUGUCUUCUCCCACGCCAGAUAGCCAAGGAGGAGACAUGUGGCUCCGAGACCUUCAGCACAGUCCCGUUCUGCAGGAGGAUGGCCAAGAGGUUGGCAUGAAGAUCCCCCUUUUAUUGUCUUCCUGGAUUCCAAGUCUAACCUGUAUUAAGUUAUUCCUCUGGCAGAAAAGAGAACAUGAUUGGUGGAAAAACACUUGUAGAGAAAUUAACACAAAAGUUCGAUUUAAGGCUGCACUGGGCAAGACUUGAUGUGCAAACCAACAUACAGAUGAGGUUGAAAUAAUUAGCCCCCCAAUAUAAAUUUCAGUUAUUCCAAAGUAUUUUCGGAGUGCUGCUGAACAGAGCAAGGAUUUUUUAAUACAGCUUUUAUACAUCCUAGUUUUAUUGUGGAUGCUUACAUAUUUUUUCUUUCCACACAGUAACAAAACUAUUUCACAAAAAAUAAAACUACCAGGGUCAGAAUUAUUACCCUCCUUUAAGACUGACCUUUUUGAGCCAUAGCACAAACCACCGCUGUGAAAUAAUGUGUAAUGCUCAAAACUUGUAAAAUCAAGGUAAAACUGAGGAUAAUCUUCCAAUUUACACACUGGAUAAGAAUUUUGGUAAGGGUUUUAGCCAUCACUUGAGAAAGCAUCAUGGCAAAGAUAAAAUAAAUCAGUUUAGACUUGAUAAAAAUAAUUCUUGAUGCUCACAAAGCAGCAGAAGGAUAUACAAAGUUAUCACAGCAUUUCCAAGUGUCAAAAAUUGGCAUUAGGAGUAUAAUUGAGAAAUUCAAAGAGAGCCACACAGUUCAAAAAAAGCCUGGCAGAGGAAGGAAGAGAAAGAUUUCAAAUAUUUUGGAAAGAAAACUAGUAAGAGAUUUUUCCAAAGACCCCAAAACAACUGCCAAAACACUAGUGAAUGACUUAGCCAUGUCAGGAAUAUAGUUUCAAAGAAGACCAUCACUAGAGCCCUGUACAGGAAUGGGCUGAAAGGUUGCAAACCAGAAAAAACUACUUCUGCAGAAGAGACACCUUAAAGCCAGACUGAAGUAUGCUAGGGCAACCUGGAGAAAGAUUUUGCUUACUGGAAGUGUGCCCUUUGGUCAGAUAAGACUAAACUAGAGCUCUUUAGCCAGAGACAUUGCUUGUAUUUGGAGAACGAGGGAAGAGGUGUAUAAGAGAGGGAAGGGGGGGCUUUAUUGUGUCUGGAAAUGGGGAUCUUGUAAAGGUGGAAGAAAUCAUGAAGUAAAAAGGAUAUGUGAAGAUUUUGAAAGAAAACCUCAAGUAGUCAUUAGUAAAACUGUGUCUGGGUCAUUUCUUUGUCAGUCCAACACAACAACAACCCCAGCAGGAGGAGCUAGAGAGAUUCACCAAGGAAGAAUGGGCUGGGAUUCCUUAGGAGACAUGUCUUAGACAUGUUGAAAACCACAAUAAAUGACUGCAGGCUGUUAUCCAGCAAAAAGGAGACACAACUGCUAAUAAGUUACACCCUGGUAGUUUUUUGCUUUUUUGUGUGUGAAAUAAUUUUGUUUUUGUGUGCAAGGUAAAUAAUGUUAGCAUCCCAAAUAAAACUAGGAUGUUGGAAAAGCUGCGUUAAAAAGAUUCCUUGCUCUGUUAAACAGCGCUUAUUUGGGGAAAAACUGAAAAUUUCAUAAGGUGGCUAAUAAUAUUGACCUAAUCUGUAUGUGAUUGUUCAAAUACAUAGCACAUUAACAACAUGUUUUGUUAGAAUUAACAUGGGAAUUUAUUAUGAAAAUUACAAGAAAUGUAUGUAAAGUUCAUUGCAUAUUGACUAUAUUAUGUGGUCAACGACAUAUUUUAUUCUUUAGCCAUAACAAGAUGAUCAUUACCUUUAAACACUUGUCUCUGAGCUACACUGAAACGUGCAGAAACACACUCUUUCAUUAUCAUGCAUUUCAACAAAGUACUAUUUCUAACACUGAAGGAGGAUAGUUUACAGAUAUCUCAUGAUACUUUAAGGUCUUGAAACCUUAAAGUACGACCUUUUGCUUAACCAGCGCAGCUUUAAGUCAAACACGUUUAAACAGGAUUGGUUAGAUAUUUUAUUACGCCAUCUUCUAUGGAAGCAGGUGAAAUGUUGAUUAAACCGGAUUAAAAAUUGUCCUCAUUAUGUCUCUUCUGGGCAAAAAUACUAUAUAAAUAAAUAAAGUGUUCAUUUGAAGUGCCUGCUUGCAUGUUUUGUUUUGACACUGUGUGCUGUCUAUUGUAUUGCAUAACAAAGAGGGUGCUGACUGUGUUCCUGACUGUGUGAUUUUUCUGGUCUUUAAAAGUGUUUAACCGAUUAGUCAACAGAAUGACUAAUGAGCGUCGUGAUUCUGCUGUGAAAACACAAUCUGCUUCUUUUGUUUCUAACUCCUUUCAUUAACAUUGAUCUUCCUUUUCUAGGUGUCAGAUUGCUUUGUUGUUUGGGUGCCAAUUAUUUUCCUAACACUGAACCAAUACUAACUCUUACUAGUAUCCCAUUGAUGAUCUCUCAAUGUGUGGUGACUUCUCUUUCUCAGGUUUUCACAGGUUUUGUGCAGUGGGUUGCAACUUCUACCAUGGGAACAAAAUAUCAUAUCUCAAUUAUAAUGUGUGUGUUUGUGUUUUCCAGCAAGGAGAGGGCUCAAGGAAUAGCAGGCGAAAAGAUGACAGAAGAUCAGGGGAUAAAAAGCUCCACUCAUAGGGAUGGUUGUGCUCUACCAGAUGUGCAGGAACCAGGCUAAAUGGUUCCCAGUAAGAAGUGUUCAGAAGGCUGAAGGGUUCCCGUGUGACGACUUCAGGAACAGUCCAGUCUGCAACAAUCUGCUUCAAACAAAAACAUGAGAGAAGCCGACCCUUCUGACUAAACGCAUGAGCAUGACAAACUUACCCUCCUGUCAAUCAAAGGACCGAGGGGGAGGUGGGGGUUCUCACUUUCUGACUGUGGUGGUGGACCCAUGGACAAUGAUUCUGCUUCCUGUUUUUGUGUGAAACAGUACAUGCCAUCGGUCCACUGGCGUUGUGAGGGCUUUUUAACAGAGCAUCGUUUGCUGUGAAGAAAAUAAAAGAAACAGACUCCCCUUACCGAAAACCACACAGGUGCAACUGUGACCAAAGAUGGCACAAGAGCUCGAUCCACACGGAGGGUGGAAGUAGACACAAUAACACAAAAACGGAACACUUCUGAUCCUACUUCAACACUCGCCUUAUAGUUUUUUCUUGAACCCAUUGUUGUCAAGAUGUAAAUUGUUUUGGGAUUUUUUUCUUCCUUUUUAAAACUUCAGCUAACACAAAAGCUUUUUUCUGUAUAUAAAACUACAAUGUGUAUAAUUCUUUAAAAUGGGGGUUACGUUACUGGUUGAGAAUGCACUGAGGAGAGUUACCUUUUCAAGUGCUUUUGAAAUUUAUUGAAAGGGUUCAACUUUUAAAGAUUUGAGUGUAACUUCACAGGUUCUUGUAUAUUUAAUUAUUAGAGCAGGUAUAAUGUUUGUACAUGAAAAAAACGCUGGUUUGAUUUUAACAGAGAGAACUUUCCAGAAAAUCCAAUUUCAGUAAUGGAUCUAAUCCUACAAAAAGCAGCCUUUCAGAGUUCUCAUAUUUUCAUGCAUGCUGUUCACAUUAUUUUAAGUACGAUUUUUACAAGUUUGCAAACACUGUACUUCAAUGACAAAUAAAACCCUUUAUCUGUGUACACAUAUAACCCUUACAUUUGUCACCAAUUUUAUAUUUUAAAUCCAAAAGGGGUACCAUUAAACAUUUAUCAUGUCGGAGUGAGGAUGAUAAAAGUUCUAUAGCUUCUUGAGGGUGUGAUGUCUUGUCUGUCUAUGUGAAAACAGGAGGGCAGCUUCUGCUAAGAGAACGAUUUAAUCUGAAUGUAAAUGCUAGUAGGCUGGCUCGCUGUAAAAUUAUAACUGUAUUGUGCGUAUUGGCUAUAAGGUGUAGGAGUCUCUGUACACUGUUAGACUGUUUGUAAUCAUUUUAGCAGUGUGUCAAUUUGGUUUUUCUAACGGCUGCUGUGAUAUUUAAGGAAAACUGGGGCAUUUCAUUUUGGAUUUUUUUUUUCUUUUUUUUUGGUGAACUAUUUUGUUAAUUUAAAACUUACUCACAUUAAGGACACAUAUAGACAUUAUUUGAUUGUAGCUCUAAAUAGCAUAUUGUAUGACAAAAACACUGGAUGGUCAAAAACAAUUAUUUAAACAUUAAAUAAAUUGUGUUUAACUCUUAAACUGUGUGAUCUUUUUAGGCUUGAGAGUCUGUAUAUGCAGUGUCAACUAGACUUGUUUUCACUAGAUCAUUGGCAAGAUUUUUUUUUUACUUGACAUCACAUUAGGGAUUAUCAUUGUAUUGGUUUUCAUUAGAUGCCCACGUAGUUCAAGUGUGGUGUUCUACUGGUGCAAUGACUCAGUAUGCUGAUGUCUAUGCUGUGGACAUGAAAACUAUUUUUCCUUUUUUUCGAGGGGGUUGGGAGGGUUUAAAGGAAGUCAGGUAGGGUGCUGUACAACAUCCCCUUAUACUACUAUGUCAAUCAGGGGGUAGAGGAUCCUUUGAUAUGGUUGAACUAUCAAUUUUUGUCAAUUUUGUUUGAUAUGUGUUUUCACCUGAGCAGAUUUUUUGAUGUACAAUUCUUACUAACAGAGUGAAGCCAUUGAAAUGUAACUAUUCUAGCACUUUGGUUAUUCAAGGUCUUUUAGAGGCUAUAGCAGCAAUGAUGCCACCACAAAUGUUUCAGACGUCUUUAAAAAAACAACCUAAAAAUAAAAAAAAUAAAAAUGCAUUGA